AAAAACAUUGCCUCUCGACUCAACAAUGAGAGGUUCAUCCUGCCCAAUGACAACAUAGUUUAAUGGCCGCGGUACCCUGACCGUGCAAAGGUAGCAUAAUCACUUGCCCCUUAAUUAGGGGCUGGCAUGAAAGGACACACGAAAGCUUCCCUGUCUCACAAUAACAAAUAAAAAUUAAUCUUCAAGUGAAAAAGCUUGAAUAAAAUUGCAGGACAAGAAGACCCCGUUGAGCUUUAUUCUCUAUAGACUAAAUCAAAUAUUAAAUACAUCAUAAACCUAAAAAGAAUUUAGUUGGGGUGACUAAGGAACACCGAAAACUUCCUUUUAUUAAUUAGGAUCAUUCUCCAUACAAAUUGACCCAUUACACAUGAUCAAAAAAAUAAGCUACCACAGGGAUAACAGGCUAAUCUUUCUCAAGAGCCCAAAUUGUCAGAAAGGAUUGGCACCUCGAUGUUGGCUUAGGGGCCCCUAAUGGUGCAGAAGCCAUAAAUGGUAGGUUUGUUCAACCUUUAAAACCCUACGUGAUCUG
rnacentral:rRNA from 1 species